GUGAUGCUAACUGUGAGCCUUGCUUAGUUUUUCUAAUUUGCCGCGGGGCUUUUUGGAGGUUGAAAUAAAAGCUAAAUCUUCUGUUCGUCAUGUCUAGUCCUAAGGUAGUAGAUUACCUAAAGACAGUGUAGUUACCUUCAUUUUCACUUUGCAGUUAAGCAGUGAGAAGCUUUUCCCUUCUGAACCGCAAGAAGCAGACAGAGAUCCUGUGGGUAUCAGUGCUCCUCCAGUGGUAAGAGCCAGAUGUCCAGUUGAGGCGAAACAAAUUGCCUGGGUUGCUCCUUCCGCAGCUCGGCUGCUUUCUGAAUUGUGCUGGCCAACUGUGGUGGCCACUUUCAUCUUCAGAUUCAUCUAGGAGCCAGUCUUUCUCACUAGCUUAAGGAAGAGCGUGCUCUGGCCAGCCUGGGUCUCUCGCCCAGCGUUCGAGGGAGCUGGAUGCCCUGUUUUGUAGUCCUGUCAUGAUGCAGUAAGGAGAAGGUGCUUCCCACUAGAAGAAGGGGCGCCGGGCAGGCAGAUCAUAUGUAUGCUUUUUAAGGGCGUCGGGUCAUUUUUUUGGCCCACUUUUAUGAAAUUAAACCAAAAGUAAUGAAUAGGAGAUUAAUAUCUGGAGUUUUGGCAGAAAAAAAAUCGCACUCAUUGUCUGAUUAAUUUUAACUCUAAAUGAGCCUUUACUUGUAGUUCUUUCUUAUCUAAACAUGCUCAUUUAAGCUAAAACGUUUCACAUACUUCUUCCUGCUGCCCAUGGAAGUGAGGGGAAGACCUGCCUUCCAGCGUGACCGACCGUCAGGCCUGAUUUUAUAUACUUCUCUUGAGUUCCCGUCGUGGCACAGCAGAAACGCAUCCGACUAGGAACCAUGAGGUUGCCGGUUCAAUCCCUGGCCUUGCCCUGUGGGUUAAGGAUCCGGCGUUGCUAUGGCUGUGGUGUAUGCCAGCAGCUCCAGGUCCAAUUCGACCCCUAGCCUGGAAACCUCCAUAUGCUUCGGGUGCGGCCCUAAAAAGACAACAAAUAAAAUACAUACUUCUUUUGAGAGUUCUUUUAUGUAGUUUCUUUAGCUCUCUGAGACGGGGGGGGGGGGGGGGGUGUAUCCAACUCUCUUGAAGUUCCUGCCUCCCUACAGAUUGCUGAAACCCAUUUUUGUGAUUAGAUUCUUUCUUUCAUUUACUUGGACUCUCAAGCUCUGUCAUUGUCCAUAUGUUGUAUGAUUCAUCUCUGAAGCAAUUUUUUCCCCCUUGAAUUUCAGGCUAGUUUCCCAGUUCCUUUUCAUGACACUGAGUAUGUGGUGAUGGGGACAGUGCUGUUGAUGUGGUUGCGAUUUUCCUGCUCAAAAAGGAAAAUACUUUUUAUCACGGAGUGCUUCUAAUCUAAACUCAAUAGAUAGAUAUAGGUGAUACAUAAAUACCAUCAUGAAGCUGAACAAAUAACUUUGAAUACUGUGUGGUUCUUGUGUUGCUUCCAGUACCUGUCAGGAUAUAUUUUUAGUGUGAAAAUUAAGUGUUGAAAUAACUUCUGGUUUUGGACUGUCUGUAAAAAUGUAUUCUUUAUAGAGUGAGAACAGGCAUUUAAAGGGCAUCUGAUAGAAUCCUCCAGCCUUAACUGAGAUCCCCCCAGAACUACCUCGCCACUUCCUGCUGCUUAAACACAUGUAGUGAUGUUGUGGAAAUGUGUUGUUUUGGAUGUUUUAAUUUAAAAAUCCAUCCUUGUUUUGAACUGAAGUCUGCUAUCUUGUGAUCUUAUCCCCCUUUGCUCUGGAGAAGCACUUAGCACACAGAUGAGUUUUUGAGCUCUUGUUAAACAGUGCAUCUCUUGACAGAAUUAAGAAUGGUCAUCUUUAGGAGUUCCCACCGUGGCAUGGUGGAAACGAAUCCGACUGGGAACCAUGACGUUGCAGGUUCAAUCCCUGGCCCUGAUCAGUGGGUUGAGGAUCCAGGCUAGGAGUCUAAUUGGAGCUGUAGCCGCCGGCCUGCACCACAGCUCACAGCAAUGCCAGAUCGUUAACCCACUGAGUGAGGCCAGGGAUCGAACCCUCAACCUAACGGUUCCUAGUCGGAUUCGUUUCUGCCCUGCCAUGACGGAACUCCUGAAAUUAUCUUUGAUGAAGGACUGUUUUUAAAAAUUCUCUAUGCAUAGCAGACUGAUACUUUUAUAAAGUACAAUAAAAAUAAAUUAGUAGAAAAAUGAAAUUUUAGUAGAAAACAAGCUCAUUUUAAAAAUUAAAGUGAACAGACAUAAAAAUACUGUCAGGUUCCUCUGUAAGUUUCUGAAUGUGUGGUCUCAAAUUUAUUCUUUCCUGUUCAUGAGCUGCUUGUGCUUUGAGUACCUCUCCUGUGGAGGAGUAACUUCUUUUCUUUUUUUUUUUGGCUUUAGGGCUGCACCCGCGGCAUAUGGAGGUUCCCAGGCUAGGGGUUCAAUCAGAGCUGUAGCUGUGGGCCUACACCACAGCAACGUGGGAUCUGAGCCGUGUCUACAACCUACACCACAGCUCACAGCAAUGCCAGAUCCUUAACUCACUGAGCCAGGCCAGGGAUUGAACCCGCAACCUCGUGGGUGCUAGUCGAGUUCAUUAACCGCUGAGCCAUGAUGGGAACUCCCCAAGUAAUUUCUUUUUGAUCAUAUACCCCAUCAGUUCAGAAUUCUAGAAACUGCCAUGUGUUGCUUGCAUUUAAAUCGUAUGCAUGUACUUCUGUGCAGUUAUACAAUGUGCACUAUAAAUUAGAAAAUAACUAAAGAUUGUAUAUGCUAUUUUAAAUUUUUAAAAUUUAUUAUUAAUAGUAAAAUAGUUCACUAAAAUAUUGUUUAGUGAAAGCAGUGUAGUUGAAAAUGCUUUAAAACUUUUGAAAGCCUUGGUUCAUUCAUAAAACAAAUAAUUAGUGUAUUAAACCCAUGGCAUUAUACAAUUAAAAUAUAUACAAUUAACAUUUGUCAAUUAUACUUUAAUAAAGCUGGAAAAUUAAAUAAAAAAUAAUCUAAGCCCUCUUCAGGUGAUACUAGACCAUGAUAAAUACAAAAAUCCUUGCACACAUGGAAUCUUCUUUCUAGUGGAGGUUAACAUUUUGUGAUAUGGUCAUUGAACUCUGGUUUUAGGGUUGAGCUUGUUUUAUAUUUGUUUUGGUUGCUGUCGUUGUUGAAAUAAAUGCCUUCCUUCCAAGGUAUACAGAUAAAAAUGGGAUAAUUAUGGUAUUUGUGUUUCCUUAAUAAUGGUCUUCAGUUUUCAAUAUUAUCUAACAAUUCUGGACAGGUUUAAUGUGUUGUUUUGUUUUGGUUUGGGUUUUUUUGUUUUUUAGGGCCACACCCACGGCAUAUGGAGGUUCCCAUGCUAGGGGUCUAAUUGGAGCUGUAGCUGCCAGCCUACACCACAGUUACAGCAAUGCAGGAUCCGAGCCACGUCUGUGACCUAACCAGAGCUCAUGGCAAUGCCAGAUCCUUAACCCACUGAGAAAGGCCAGGGAUUGAACCUCUGUCCUCAUGGAUGGUAGUCAGAUUCGUUAACCACUGAGCCACAACAGGAACUCCCACGCAUGUGUGUAUUUUUAAUACAUUUUUUCAAAACCUAGUGAAACUGUGGAUUUAAACAGGUUAGGAAUUAUUAAUUUUCAAGGUGAUGUUCAGGUGAGAUUAUCUUUUUAAAGUGGGUUCGUUUACAUUUGUAACUGUAAAAGCUUGCCAACUCGCCGUGUAUCUGUUCACUAAUAGAUUACUUUAGUCUUACUGUCCUAAUUACUUUAGCUUUUAUAAGUCUUCCUGGGCAAUAGACUAGGAGUCCGCAAACAUGUUCUUCCUCUUCUUGAAGUAUAGCUGCAUUACAAUGUUGUGCUCUACAGCGCAGUGAUUUAUUUGUACAUAUGUAUUUUUAUAUUCAAUUAUGGUUCAUCACAAGACAUGGAAUAUAGUUCCGUGUGCCAUACAGUAGGACCUCGUUGUUUAUCCAUCCUCUCUGUAAUAGUUUGCAUCUCCCAAUCCUCCCCUCCCCAGCUUCUCCUCCUUGGUAACCACAAGUCUAUUCUCUGUAUCUGUCUGUCUUUGUUUCCUAGAUAUGUUGAUUUGUUGCAGUUAAGAUUCCACAUAUAAGUGAUAGCAUAUGGAUUUGUCUUUCUCUUUCUGAGUUACUUUGCUUAGUAUGAUAAUCUAGGUCUAUCCAUGUGCUGCUGCAAAUGGCGUUAUUCUUUUUUAUGGCUGAGUAAUAGUCCAUUGUGUGUAUAUUCACACACACACACACACACACACACAUCUUUAUCCAUUCAUCUGUUGAUGGACAUUUAGGUUGCCUCCAUGUCUUGGCUAUCCUAAGUAGUGCUGCAUUGAACUUUGGGUGCAUGUAUCUUUUCAAAUUACGGUUUUCUCUGGAUAUAUGCCCUGGAGUGGGAUUGCUGGGUCAUAUGUUUCUUAAUAUGAAACUCCAUUCUGAUCUUCGUAGUGGUUCUACCAGUUUACAUUGCCGCCCACAGUGGAGGAGGGUUCCCUUUUCUCCACACCUUCCCCAGCGUUUGUUAUUUGUAGACUUAGUAAUCAUGGCCAUACCAACCAGUGUGAGGUGGUCCUUCACUGUAGUCUUGAUUUGCCUCUCACUAAUUAGAGAUAGAGAGCAUUUUUUUCCGUGUACCUCCUAUCCAUAUGUAUAUCUUCUUUGAAGAAAUGUGUAUUUUUUGAUUGGGUUGUUUUUUUGUUGUUGAAUUGUAUGAGAAGUUUGUAUAUUUUGGAAGUUAAGCCCUUGUGGGUAGCACUAUUUGCAACUAUUUCUCCCAGUCUGUAAGUCGUCUUUUUGUUUUGCUUAUGGGGUUUACUUUACUGUGCAAAAGCAUGUAAAUUUGAUUAGGUCCCAUUUGUUUGUCUUUGUUUUUAUUUUUUUUGCCUUGGGAGACUGACCUAAGAAAACGUCGGUACAAUUUAUGUCAGAAUGUUUUGCCUGUGUUUUUUUGUAGGAGUUUUACGGUGCUCUGUCUUACAUUUAAGUCUUUAAGCCAUAUUGAGUUAAAUUUAUGUAUGGUGUGAGAUGUGUUCAGACUUCAUUGAUUUGCAUGCAAUUGUCAGCAAACUUCUUUUUUUCUUUUUAGGGCUGCAUCUGCAGCAUAUGCAAGUUCCCAGGCCAGGGGUCAAAUCAGAACUGCAGCAGGGGCUUAUGCCACUGGCAACACUGAAUCUGCAACCUGCACCACAGCUUGUGGCAAUGCCCGAUCCUUAACCCAUUGAAUGAGGCCGAGGAUUGAACCUGCAUCCUCACAGAGACCACAUCGGGUCCUUAACUUCUUGAGCCACAACAGGAACUCCAGCAACCAUGUUCUUAAAGGGCCAGAUAUGAAAUGUUGUAGGCUUUGCAGGCCGGAUGGUCUCUGCACACUACUCACCUCAACUACUGUAGAUAGGAAGUAGCUGUAGACAGUACAUGAACAAUGUAGAGUGACUAUGUCCCAGGAAAACUUUAUUUACAAAAAGAGGCACAUUGCUGUGAACCUGAAACUGGUCUGAGAAAAUAAAGUCUGCUGAAAGGAAAGCCCAGAGUUCCCAUCGUGGCUCAGCAGUAACAAACCAGACUAGUAUCCCUGAGGCUGUGGCUGCAAUCUCUGGCCUCGAUCAGUGGGUUAAGGAUCCAGCGUUGCCAUGGUGUAGAUUGAAGAUGCGGCUCAGAUCUUGUGUUGCUGUGGCUGUGGUGUAGGCCAGCAGCUGCAGCUCCGAUUCUAUGCCCUAAAAAAGAAAGGAAGGAAGGAAGAAAUGAAGGAAGAAGGAAGAAAGAAACGAAGACAGAAGCAACAGCAUCAUUUUUGUAUUCUUCUCGACAGUGAUGUAUAACCUAAAUCCGAUCAUCAGACAGAACUUAAUUAAGGGACAUUCUGCAAGAUAAUUGGCCAGUAAACUUCAGAAUUAUCAAGUUCAUAAGGACAAAGAAAGCAUGAAAAUUAUUCUAGGUUGAAGGAGACCAAAGAGAUAUGACAACUAAAUGCAACAUGUGGUUCUAACUAGUCAGAAUCUUGAACAAGUCUGAACAUUCUGUGGUAGAAAUGUGUUAUCACCUAUUUCCCAAUGGUGAUGGCUGCAUUAUUUGUUGUAGGAGAUUGUCCUUGUUGGAAAUAAACACAAAGGUGUCUGGGUGAGAUGGAGCAUCACUGUCAGCAGCUUACUCUCAAAGGACACAGGGGAAAAAUGGUUUUGUAUUGUACUUGCAACUUAUUCUAUAAGUUUGAGACAUUGUUUCAGCAUUCUUAAAACAUGUAUCAUUAACAGCAAGUAAAUUUGUUGCAGAAAAACAAAAACAGGCAGCCUAGUUUGACAACCCCCUACAUACUUUGAUGCUCUCCUGGAUAUUCUUGUUGUUACUGUU
rnacentral:lncRNA from 1 species